AUUCUGCCUAUAGUCGCCGGUGUCGCCGGUUCCAUUUUGGAGCCAAGAGGGAAUGCGGUAAGGGCGGAUUUCGCCCAAUGCCGUGGCUGCCCCCGCAACUGUGUGCGGUAGUCCUCUCCAUAUGCCACUGAAGAUUUUUCUUCGGGAAGGUGGGGAAGGACGCUGAUCCGUGAGCCAGGAGACCUGCCGGCGACAGGAAACUGAC
rfam:Mesorhizobium ciceri biovar biserrulae WSM1271, complete genome.